UAACCUGUCAACCUGGACCCCCAAAGGUCCAGCAAUUAACACAAAGCAGAGAGUUAGAAAACAUAAACAUAAAUAUAAGUGUGAGUAGUAUACUACACACUUCACACGCUAUCAUGCAUUUCUAACUCACGCACAUACAUCGUCAAAUACGACUACCAAUUAAUCAUUCAUUUACACACACACCAAUCAUAUAGUUUCACGUCUUCUCGGACACUAAC
rnacentral:lncRNA from 1 species